UACGGAGGGGGCUAGCGUUGUUCGGAAUUACUGGCGUAAAGCGCACGUAGGCGGCUUUGUAAGUUAGAGGUGAAAGCCUGGAGCUACAACUCCAGAAUUGCCUUUAAGACUGCAUCGCUUGAACGUCGGAGAGGUGAGUGGAAUUCGAGUGUAGAGGUGAAAUUCGUAGAUAUUCGGAAGAACACCAGUGGCGAAGGCGGCUCACUGGACGACUGUUGACGCUGAGGUGACGAAAGCGUGGGGAGCAAACAGGG
rnacentral:rRNA from 1 species